UUGUGGUGUGGGUGGUCGCGGCCGUGCUCGGCCGAGCGGCCGGCGCGCCGGCGGGCCUGUCAAGCAGCUCGCCCUGCCAGCUCGCUUGUCGAGACAAUUUCCAGCUGGUGACCGUACCGGCUCAGACCCUCAGCCAGCCGUGCCUGCUCGGAUGCAACAACUAUAAUGCGUCCGUGAGGUUGGCUGGGGCCUCGUGCGUGAAGUAUUGCUUGGAUGUCCUUGACCUUGAAGAGGAGCGGCUGGCUUGCCAGAGCGGCUGCGCAGAAGCGAAAUAUUUACACCGCGCGAACUCUCUGCUGCGGGCCUUGCGGCCUUGGCCACGGCAGGAGGUCAUCCUCAGACGGGCCGGGCGGCAGCGGCUGUCGGAAGGACAGUGGCGGACACCCCCGCUGGAAGGC